UAGGGGUGCUCUCCAAGCUCAGCAUGAAGCCAUAAGGAAGGGGCAGCAAUUACAUGGAGUAGCAAUAACAGACCAGCCUCCUGGGUGCAAAGCACGGCGGACAGGGGCAAGAAAUGACCGGAGACGUGGCUUCUAGCUGUGGGACUCCCUCACCCAUGUGAUCUUCCUGGCUUCCAUGAUUAGGGAACUGAAGAGAUGGGGAUGGGGUUCAGGACCAGUCCCUGACACUUAAAGAACUUAAAUUACUUUUCUCCUUAGAUGUUUUUAUUCAACACACCUUAAUUAAGAACCUUAGAUUGAAUCAUAUGAAACUGCCAAUGGUCUACCAUGGGUAAUUUCACACAUUUGAAUGUAAUGUCAUGCUCCAGGAAAAGGGUUAAGGAAGCCAAGACUAAGAAAACAAACCUGGACUCUGUCCUCACAGAACUGAUGAUGCAGGUGGUAGGAAAACAAACAACAUACUAACAGAAAAAAAGAAGUGAAGGGGAUUAUGGCAGCAAAUAGCAUUUACCCAUGAAACAAACCCAAGGGGCAAAAGGCCAGGAGUGUUCAGAAAAACAUCUCUCCUUAUGGAAACCAAAUGAAUGGGUCAUGAUGGUUUGGAGGGUGUAUUGCUGUAACAAAUUACCACAAAUGUAGUGUAUUAAAACACCACCGAUUUAUUCUCUUACAAUUCUGGAGGUAAGAAGCCCCAAAUCAGGUUUAUUGGGCAAAAUCAAGGUAUCGGGAGGGUCAGGCUCCCUCUGGAGUCUCUAGAGAGGAAUUUGUUUCCUUAGCUUUGCCAUCCGCAAGGGCUGCAGUCCUUGCAUGUCUUGGCUCACGGACCUUUUCCUCCAUCAUCAAGGCCAGCAGCACAACAUCUUGCCUCCGUGGUCACUUGCCUCUUCUGUUUGUCAAAUCUCCCUCAUAUAAGGAUGCCUGUGGUUGCAUUGGGACUCACCUGGAUAACCCAGAAUAAUCUCCUCACCUCACGAUUCUUCAUUUAAUAACAUCUUCAAAGCCUCUUUCGCCGUAUAAGAAGCAAGUAUUGGAAACUAUAGAAGCACAUGGUGAAGAAGACAAUUGACCCAGUCUUAAGAGAUUUGAGGAUGACUUCCUGGAAGAAGUGACUUCCAAAGUAGAAUAUAAAGCAUAAGUAGGAGUUUGAAGACAAACAGUGUGGAAGAAGAAAAUGA